GUAGGGUGCAAGCGUUAAUCGGAAUUACUGGGGCGUAAAGCGUGCGCAGGCGGUUAUGUAAGACAGUUGUGAAAUCCCCGGGGCUCAACCUGGGGAACUGCAUCUGUGACUGCAUAGCUAGAGUACGGUAGAGGGGGAUGGAAUUCCGCGUGUAGCAGUGAAAUGCGUAGAUAUGCGGAGGAACACCGAUGGCGAAGGCAAUCCCCUGGACCUGUACUGACGCUCAUGCACGAAAGCGUGGGGAGCAAACAGGAUUAGAUACCCUGGUAGUCCACGCCCUAAACGAUGUCAACUGGUUGUUGGGUCUUCACUGACUCAGUAACGAAGCUAACGCGUGAAGUUGACCGCCUGGGGAGUACGGCCGCAAGGUUG
rnacentral:rRNA from 1 species